rnacentral:rRNA from 1 species
UAGAGUUUGAUCCUGGCUCAGGAUGAACGCUAGCGGCAGGCCUAAUACAUGCAAGUCGAGGGGUAACAGUACUUUUCGGAGUAGCUGACGACCGGCGCACGGGUGCGUAACGCGUAUGCAAUCUACCUACAGCAGAGGGAUAGCCCGUGGAAACAUGGAUUAAUACCUCAUAAUACAGGGAGCCCACCUGGGCAUAUUGUUAAAGAUUUAUCGGCUGUAGAUGAGCAUGCGUCCCAUUAGCUAGUUGGUACGGUAACGGCGUACCAAGGCGAUGAUGGGUAGGGGUUCUGAGAGGAUGAUCCCCCACACUGGUACUGAGAUACGGACCAGACUCCUACGGGAGGCAGCAGUAGGGAAUAUUGGUCAAUGGACGGAAGUCUGAACCAGCCAUGCCGCGUGCAGGAAGACGGCCUUCUGGGUUGUAAACUGCUUUUAUCAGGGAAGAAAAUGGCCUUGCGAGGCAAAUUGCCGGUACCUGAAGAAUAAGCACCGGCUAACUCCGUGCCAGCAGCCGCGGUAAUACGGAGGGUGCGAGCGUUGUCCGGAUUUAUUGGGUUUAAAGGGUGCGUAGGCGGCCUAUUAAGUCAGUGGUGAAAGGUAUCAGCUUAACUGAUGACGUGCCAUUGAAACUGAUAGGCU